UUGGUUCAAAUUGGAAAAAUCCAGGAGAACAACUCUGCUUGGCCCAGGCUGAAAGUCGCAUGUCCUUGACCGUGGCCAGAGGCAUAACAUCCAUGAAAGCCAGAACUAUACCUGUUCGUUAAGAGCUACUUCAGAAGUGUCUGAAAUAAAUGAGUGAACGUGCUGAGGAAACAUUUUCCAGAUGCAGGGGAGGAGUCUCUGCAAAUUCACAGUGUCUCCAGGGACGAGCGGCGAGGGCUGG